AUCACAUCCAGCCCUUUUUAAAGGAAGGUUUUUAUUUCUCUUCUAAUUACAUUUAAUUGUGUGUGUCGGGGGUUGCUGGUUGAUUCACCAUGUAGGUCCGAGGGACUGAAUUCUUCCCUGGACUUGAUGGCCGCAGCCUUCACCCGCUGAGCCCUCCCACCAGCCCCAGUUAGCGGGUCUGGAAUAGGGAAGUGUGGAUGUCUUAGAUCUUUUCAGGUAUUGUUGAAAAGGGAGGGAGAGAGAAAGAGGCAGCAAAAGUGGCUUCUGGUCAUGUGAGGAGUCAUCAGGGCGUAUUCAUGUUCUCCAAGCGUCUGGAACAUGCCUGGAGCAUGACCAGCCUGUGUGCUACCCAGGCUCUGACUACUGAGCUAAAUGUCUAGCCCCAAUACUUGUCAUGUGAACAGAUUACACAGCUCUAGUAAAAAGGGAGAGAACUCAGUCAUACUGGAAAACAGCACGUCUACACAGGCGACUGUGGCGGGUUGAGGGAAGAAGCCUUCCCUUCACACAUGUAGCUCAUCACACUCAGGCUUUCUCGCUGCAGAGCUGAGGGGGGGUUCUUUUAACUGUGCUUAGUCAGUCAUGUUGCCCAGAAGUGGAAAUAACAGAAUUUUCAAGAGAAACUGAGGUUGAGUAAAAUCUCAAAAACCAGUUCUCUUCACAGAUUUUUCAAACCUAUAUGACUUAUAAACUAUGAUGUCAAAUGUCUGAACUUCCGGCAGAGUCCUCCACCCACAAAUAAGAGUCCUAAGCUCCUUGGGGCUCUGUCUGGAACCUGAGAAGGAAAUCAUCUUUGCUCCACAGAACCUUCUGCCUGACUCCACACUAAUGAAGAAAGGACUGUGGCAGUCCAGAUCCUUCCCUGACACUGGGCUUGUCGCUGUGUACCCAACACCUGCAGCUGGCCUCCACGGCCCUGCUGGUGUCCUUUGCAAAGGACAGUUACUUGUCACCGUGGUAGGACUCGAGGCCAUUGCCUUUGGCUGAGCUGAGCUGAGAUGGGACAGAGAACUGAAGAAGCCAGGUCUCAGGAAUAGAAAGAUAGGGCUCUCUGGGAGUCUGAAGUGGGUUGUGGGGGGUGUGCCCCCAAACUAAUGAUGGGUUUUGAAGGGCUGCUUUCAGGCUGACUGAGACGCCAGCAGCAGCAGAUGUUACCGGGUUUCAGGCAGUGUUUUCAUUAGAUGUCAGUUUUUGUGUGACAGAAACUCAAACUGCCUAAGCAAACUUUUAUUUGUCCUCUGAAAACUUGACAUCCGUCUAGUGCGUGGGCCCCUAGACCCACCUGUUUCGUUCAUGAGCACUGCCUCUUCUGUGUACCAGCUUUUCUCACAGGCUGGCAUUUGGGGGCACAAAUAGUUUAGGGAAUGUGGACUUGGAGGUCUCUGCUAGGCCAUCAGGAAAAGAGAGAUUGCCUCCUCUAGUAAUACAGCUGAGAACCUGAGGAUGCUUUUUCUCAGCAGGACUAGCAAAUGUUUUCUCAAUCCUCAUUGGCCAGGACUGAACCAAUCACCUGUCCUGAUGCAUACAUACUUUGAGGGGCAUCACCAGCGAAGGUCUCCAAGAAAGAAAGUAAAGAGGAGCUUCCUUGGCAACUGAGGGAGAAGUAGGUGUUGAGGAGGUGACCUGUGAAUGCUUACUGUACCUUCAUUAUCGUGGUACAGGCCAGGUUAGAUCGGGGCAAUAUGGACAUCGAUGAGAAGUCUUUCCUUCUUUGGGGGAAGAGGGCAGGCAAGGUCUCCCUGUGCAGACCACACUGGCCUGGUCUUAUGGUCUUCUUCUCUCUCCCACAUGCUACUGCCUUCCACUCCUGGUUAUAGAUAAAAUCUGUUCAGAACCCCAGCUCUGCCUGCUUCUAACUAAGUUAUCUCUUCAAUCUCCAAUUUCUUCAUCUGAAAAAAUGCAGCUCAUGCCUAUAACGCCUUGGGAGGGUGAGGCAAGAGGAUUGCCAUGAGUUCCAGGCCAUCCUGGGCUACAGAGUUUGAAUACUUAUCCGAAAAACCAAACAAAAACAAAAUGUUAAUGGCAACCCCUCAGUGAAGAUCAAUUCAUGUAUCAAAAUAUAUGUUUGUCCCAGCACUUGUGUGGCAGAAGCAGGCAGAUCUCUUCAGUUUCCAGGCCCCCCUGGUGUAUAUAGGGAGUUCCAGGUCAGCCAGAGCUAUAAUGUGAAAUCCUGUCUAGAAACAAAUGAACAAAACUACCUAUGGAGGGUGAAGGUACGUAAGUUUAUAUGUUUGAAAAUAUAAAUCCAAUAGGAAGUACUUUUGUUUCUUUAUAGAGUGUCCCUGCAGUUGUUGAAGCCAGCAGGGAGGCCCAUUUCCACCCAACAGGACAGCGAGCAUAAGGAAGCUAGCCCUGGCAGUGUCAGGCAAGUCAGGGCCCACCUGGUGUCUUCACUGCAAGAAAGAGGGCUCACUGGUUCAGAACUAACCUUAGGCAGCAGGUGUUCAGGGCCGGGGUGGUAGAGUUUCAGCUUUGAUUUGUCUAUGAAGCCGCCCGGGUUAUUAAGAUGGUGACCCUGUUCUCUUGUUCAAGAACCAGUUUCAUUUCUAAUGACACAGCACCAUCAUGCCAUUCCUUGAUUUAGUCACUAGAACCAAAACUGAAGUGUGGCUGGUUUCAUGUUGUUUUUAUAGCAGUUAGUACAGAGAACAACAGGCUUGUGUGAAAACAGAUGUGUUUGCUAUCUGUUUCUCCAUCUGCUGCCUCCCAGACUCAGCCAUCUCUGCCAUGGCUUGCUCCUCAGCCUCAGUUCUUGUCGGAGAGGCUCCCUUGAGAACAAGAACCUGGCUGCUCUUUCCAGGACUGCGGGCACAUUUUUUUUUUUUUUUUUUUUUAAGAGGAAAAGAGUCUUGCCAUCCCCCAAGCCAUUCACCAUUUGGGAGAAUCCCUUUCGGAGCACCCAGGAGGACUCUUGGUUUGAUGGGCCUCAGAGUGCUGAACUACAACAAGAGAAGGUGUUUAAUUCUCUAGGGAAAGCCUCAUCUUAAUAACAAUGCCAAAGUUCUCACAAUAAAUCAUAGUCUCCUCCCGCUGGCCGUGUUUCUAUAAUCAGGUUUAAAAGUGAAUGUUUACAAAGAAAGAAAUAGAAAUGGGCUAAGACUGUAGCUAAAUUAGCAAAGUGCUCACCCUGUACAUACUAGGCCCAAAGUUAGUCCCAGCACUGCAUAAGCCAGGCAUGCUGACACAAGCCUGUGAUCUUAGCACUCGGGAGGAUCAGAAGUUCAAGGUCAUCCUGAGUUUGAGGCCAGCCUUCGCUACAGAAGAUCCUCUUUAAACACACCCAGACACCUCUUUAAACACACACACACACACACACACACACACACACACACACACACACACCUCCAUAAACAUCGAUUCUUCCAUGUCUUCAGAUUUAAGAAUUACAGAACGUAGAACCCUAAGCUAUCUCCCAUAUAAUCUAAUCGCUCUAUCUGUGCUCAGGUUCCCUUGUGUAUAAAAUGAACCUAAUAGGAAAUCCUAAUAGGGCAAAGAACAGCUUAUAUGAAUAAAUGUGCACAGCAUGCUUGAAAAAGCACCUGGCACAGAGUGUGCCCUCCCAAAAUGUCAGUUGUCCUGGGCUAGGGAUGUAACUCAGUUGGUUGUGCUUGCCUAGCAUUCAUAAAGCCCUAGGUUCCCUACCCAGCACCACAUAAUACAAGGUGCUGUGACCCAUACCUAAUCCCAUUUUGGGAAAUGGAAGGAUCAGAAGUUCAGGGUCAUCCUUGGCUACAUAGGAUGAGGCCAGCCUGGGAUGAGCGAGACCCUGUCUUGAAAAACAAAACAAGCCAAUAAAUAUUAGUUGUAAUCGUCCUCACUUCAUGUUUUUGUCCACUGAAAGUUGAAUAUCUUCAUCUCACCCCGCACACACACAGCCAGCCUCUCUCAAUAUCUGCCUACCCUCCAUCAAAAUCACGCUCCUGUAACCUUGACUUUUGAUCUCAAAUGACAGAGGAGGGUAAGCCUUGCUUCCAUGGUAACAGCUGGUCUCUUCCAGAACUGUCUAUUAACCAGUGUUCGUUGUGUUUUAAUGAUAAGCAUAACUCAGAUAUCCUAUCAUAUUUACACGUUGAGCCCGCUCACCAGGACACUGGGUUGGUGGCUGUGCUUCUCCGUUUUGACUUUGCUAUGCUGUUGCCAGGCCUUCGUCCUGGACCUUCUCAUCCAGUUGUCAAUGUUUCCAUUAGACUAAAUUUUUUACCUCAAUCCCCUCAUUUAAGGAAAUUCCUUAAUAUUGUCAAGAAAGCCAUUUUCCAUUUAAUUUUUUCCUCUUAUUUCAUCUUCCGUCAAUAUUUUCUUAUUGUGUUCACCGUCUGGGGAGUCCAAAUAACAGCAUGGCUGUUCAGUGCUCUCUCUGUGUGGACCUUUAUCCCCUCCACGAUUGCAAAUUCUUGAGACCAAAAGCCAGAGCUUGGCGGCACUCCUGAGCUUCUGGGUAGAAGACAGUCUGUUGCUAGGGGACUCCUGAGAGAGCUCUUCCAAGCAUGUGGCUCUCUACUCUUUCCCUCUGUUGCCUCUCUGAAUUCACUUAGGCCUUCAGUAAGCAGGGACAGACUUGAAGGUGAGGGACUUAGGACCCUGGAGCCAGAGUCUGAAGGUGAUGUGUUGAGGAAUGAACCUGGCCUCCACCCUCUGCUGGAGUAGGGCAUUUUCUCCAGCAGAAGAUGCCUCUAUGUCUACCUCAUCGUGUUCCUUUUGGUCUGCUUUCUUCCUCCUACCUAGUCUCUCUCGCCCGCUCUCCCCUUUCCCUGAUUCACUUCCAGGCCGCCCUCCCCCGCCCGGCUUCAUGCCUUCCCUCUUACUCUUGCUUGGUCCUCUGUGUGCAUCACGGCGGUUUCUGUUCCCUCUCGCUCUUUUUCUUUCACUUUCCCCCGCCCACCAGUCCUUUUUAACUGUGUCAUCAUGGCUUACAGUGUGGGAACAUGGAACUCGUCGUCUCCCACAUUACACAGCCAUCUCUGGAUUCCAUGUGACCAGCAUUCCUUCCCUGAGCUACUGGGGCAGAACUGAUCCCCCACCACUACCAGCUGCUGAGGCCCAGCUUCUCUCUGAGUCCUGCUUCCUGCCCACGGCAGGGAGGGGGCGAGGCUCGAGCAGAAGAUGGAGGCCACAGAAGUCACCCCCAGUGCCUGGUAGGACUGUUGGGCAGUGUGAAGUGGGCAUGACCCCAGACAUCCCGCAGGUCAGCCUCCUCUGAAAGCACAGGGGUUGGGGCGGAGGAUCUGAAUGACACGGGCUGCGGGGAGAUAUAGGGCUGCUUGGACAACUGAGAGCAACCCCUGCCUGUGCUGACAUACGGGCCUGUCUUUAUAAUCUACAAAACCCAGCUGAAAUCCAAGUCAAAUGAAUAACAGGGUCCUGGUCACACGCAAGGAAUACUCUUCCCGUUUCCUCCUCCUCAACCCCACGCAUGCGCAAGGACCACUCUUCCCAUUUCCUCUUCAACCCCACGCAUGCAGGCUUGUGCAAUCUGUUCUUAUAUAAAGGUUUGCUAAACAGUCCAAGCUGAAGUUAGGUCUGGGAUCUGUGCGACGCAUGCUACCUCCCUUUCAAAGGUCAGCUCUCACCCACAGCAGCUACAGCAACCUGGAUAUUAGAGUGGGGGAGGGGAGGCGUGCCGAGGCUGCUGAGAACCGGACCUUCUUAGACUCGGUUUCACAAUGUAAGGAAUGUUUUGUGUAUCUUACAUGCAAACCAGAUUUGGUGACUCGAGUGGCAGUGUCCCUUUGCGACUGUGGCCAAGGAUGGAAAUAAAGCCUCUCCCUCUCUUAGAGGAUGGGUUUCUGCCAGGCACUUCCUUUCCUGCUGGUUUGCUCCCUUGACCCUUGGCAGCAGCCUGGCGCGCCUGCUAGCCGGCACCCAACCAGCACAGUGAAAGUGAUUAUUGCCCUGGCUGCCUACAGGCCUCUGCAGGCAUCUUCUGUCCUGGCCUGCUUGCAGGAGCCAUCAGAGCCAGGAUCAAGAGGUUGGCUGAGGGGGAAAAAAAAAGUGAGCCGGGUCUCCUGGCAUCUUUCCAAGUCCCAGAAAGGAACUGCUCCUAAUCCAGCAUCCUCUUCCUUUUUGUUCAGGUCAAGUAAUUAAAGCCCACCUGCCAUGGUUCCAUCGUGUUGGGAAGCUUCAUUCUCUAUGGACCAGUGCUGGGGUGGAGCCUGAUUACAGGAUGCUGGACACAAAGGCCUCAGCAGCUGCUACCCACUGUCUGGAACUUGCCAGGCCUGAGACUCAUGAGCUGAGACAUAGCAUUCGUUAUCAAGUACCCAGUCUGGUAUUCUGUGACAGCAGCCUAAGGAAACAAAGACACCUGACGCGAGUGUCCCCUCCCAUGACACUGGAAAGAGCAGCCACAAACCAGGAGGCUGCAGGCCUGCCGAUCUCUUGCAGUUGUCCUGGUCCUGGUGCUGAGAAAGACAGCUGACCAGCCCUAACUAUAAGAAAGAGUUCUGAUGGGACUGACCUGACCUACUGGGGACCUCCAACCUGGGAAGGCGGGGACCUGGAUCCUACCAACAAGAACUAAAACAGGGUUUCCUCCCCAAUGCCUCCGGACAAAUACUCUGGCCUGUUUUAUGGAAGAGAGGAGAGGGCCAAGCCAGUCUGUUUCAGAUUUUGGGCUUCAUAGGACGGAGAACUAACAAAAAGGGUUGUUUUAAGCCACCGGAUUAUUGGUAAUGCCGGUACGUAUUUAAUCAUGCGGAGUUAUCAAUUGUUUUCUUUUGGACAGUCUCACUGUAUGGCCCAGGCUAACUUCCACCUUGGAAUUCUCUAACCUCAGCCUUCUGAGGGCUGAGCCUGCAGGCGUGUGUCACUACAUCCACCUGACUUUUAAAUGGUUUUCGUGGUCCCCGAGUCUUAGUUUAUAGGCCACGGUCUUGGUAGGCUGCAGAUUUCUAGCAAGUGGGAGGAAAGCUGGCCACCUGGUUCACUGUGGGUGUCACUCAGAAGUCCAUGGUGAUGUCACUCAGAAGCCGAGGCCUCACAGAGAGGCACAAAGGAGGAGGAGGAGGGAGAAGAGGAGAAGGCAGCAACAUUGAACACAAUGUUGGUAAAGAUCAAGAGAAAGGAGAUACCUACCAGUGAUGGAACCAGAUCCUUCAGGGGUGGCCCCCGGGCUCCUGGAAGGCUGGCUUCAGGGAAGUAGAAAAUGAGAGGUGGCCAGAGGGGCUGUGCUUCAGAGUUACACAGGGUGUCGGCCAUUUGACAGCAUCAGGGUAGCAUGGGUUAGCAUAGAAAUGUAUUCUGGGUCCAUGGCGUGAAGGCUCUGGAAUGAGAAGCAGCAUGAUUUGGUAGGAAUGAGGGGCCAUGCCAAGCCCGGGAGGAUAGACUCGAAGUGGACUGAGUAUACACGGUGAAUUGAGUGUGGCAGCAAGACAGAAGCCUGCUGUGGGAUGUGUUGAUCACAUUCUGACAGUAAAGCUUGCUUGGAGUCAGAGGGCAGAGCUAGCCACUCGCUGACCAAAAUUAACCAUAGAGGUUUUGGAGGACAGGACAGAUAGGAGACAGGAAGUAGUAAGGUGGGGCAGAGAGAGGAUCUCUGCCUUUUUUGGGGAUCACUGGUGGCUCCUCCACUUCUCUGAUCAUUCAGGUUCUCACCCCAAUAACUGACUCCCGAUUUUUUUAAUUGAAAAGUAAUUAGAUAAACGCUUCAGGGGGCUUCCGUGCAGACAGAGGAUAGAAUGGGAACCAUCACAGUAACUUUGCCAUGGGGACAACAGAUAAAAAAAUAAAAACCACAGCUUCCGGCUUGAUUCCAUCCCUCAGUCCAGCCUUCCUCCGCUUCUCCCUGUACCGCCAUCACCACCACGUGCCCAAAAGACAAGAGCCACUGCGUUUAAGGAGCUGAGAAUGACUAAUGUCAGGUAAUAAGCGUUAAGUCUCAUGAGGGCGACCUCAGCAGGGCCAUGGUGGCACACACCUUUAAUCCCAGCACUCAGGAGCCAGAGGCAGGCGGAUCUCUGUGAGUUCAAGGCCAGCCUGGUCUACAGAGUUAGUUUCAAGCCAGCCAGGGCAACACAGAGAAACCCUGUCUCAAAAAACAAACCGAAAAAACCCCACAGCCUCUGGUGAAGAUAAAUGUCAACCAGGUGAAGCCACGGCGCACCUUCAGGAAAGAAUGGUAUGGGGUCACUGUCUUAUCUCCUUGAUUUUUUUGUUUUAAUUUGAAGUGCUUGGGACUGAACUCUGGGUUUGAUCUA